UCCGUAGGGUGCAAGCGUUGUCCGGAAUUAUUGGGCGUAAAGAGCUCGUAGGCGGUUUGUCGCGUCUUCUGUGAAAACCCGAGGCUCAACCUCGGGCCUGCAGUGGGUACGGGCAGACUAGAGUGCGGUAGGGGAGAUUGGAAUUCCUGGUGUAGCGGUGGAAUGCGCAGAUAUCAGGAGGAACACCGAUGGCGAAGGCAGAUCUCUGGGCCGUAACUGACGCUGAGGAGCGAAAGCAUGGGUAGCGAACAGG
rnacentral:rRNA from 1 species